CCCUUAGAUGUUCUGGGCCGCACGCGCGCUACACUGAAGGGAUCAGCGUGUUUUCCCUUCCCGAGAGGGACGGGUAACCCGCUGAACCCCCUUCGUGGUAGGGAUCGGAGCUUGCAAUUGUUCUCCGUGAACCAGGGAUUCCCAGUAAGCGCAAGUCAUAAGCUUGCGUUGAUUACGUCCCUGCCCUUUGUACACACCGCCCGUCGCUACUACCGAUUGAACGUUUUAGUGAGGUAUUUGGACUGGGCCUUGGGAGGUUUCGGCCUCCCUUGUUGCUCGGAAAGACUCCCAAACUUGAGCGUUUAGAGGAAGUAAAAGUCGUAACA
rnacentral:rRNA from 1 species